AGAAAACUUUGAAAUAGUCCGUUAGCAUCUCAACUGUUUUCAGGCAAGGAGUGAUAAUAUUAUCUCUCUACAACAGAAGAGAAGCUCCAAAAUUUCAAAGUUUCUGAAGGAAGCUGCUGACAGAAAUUAAGGAAACACAGGUGCUUUGUUGGUAUUAAUCCAGAGAGAGGAACAAAGAAGUUGAAAGGAUUGAAAACAAAAGGGGAAAUGGUGCAGAAGAAACAGGUUGAAGUGAACCCACAUGUUGUCACCCUUUUCAGUGGUAUUUCUGAAAUGUACUGUAAGUACACAUCCCAAUAUCUUUUUUCUUUUAUUAUUCUAUCUUAUUUGAUUGUACCUGUUAUCCCUUUUUCUGUCUCUGAAUCUGUCAUCCCUCUAUCUGUUUCUGACUGUAUUAUUAUGGGCUGUAAUAUAUCUUAUAUAUUGUUCUCUUUGUUCUUUUUAAUAUUUCUAGCCACCCUUUGGAUCUAGGGAUGGAACAGCAUCUGGAGCUGAACUUUUCUCCUUUUUUUGAUCCAAAGUUUUGCUGGACACACUUGGGGCCUUGUUGUUUGGGCAUGUAAGACUAAUCAAUCUUUGUGGUUUUUAGAAAUGUUUAAUUAUGACAUGUUUAUGAAGUGUCAAUUUGUAUUUAUUUUUUUAUUUGUAUUUAUUCAUUUAUUUUAUUUUUUGUUAAAUAACAGGUGAAUUAAUUUCUGCAUCAAACAACACUUUAUGCAGUUAAAUGGUGUUUAAAGCUUAUGCAGUUAUUGAAUAGUUAAAAUGUAAAAUUGACCUGCCAGACAUUAAUAUUCAUUAAA